rnacentral:rRNA from 1 species
CCUACGGGUGGCAGCAGUAGGGAAUAUUGCACAAUGGGGGAAACCCUGAUGCAGCGACGCCGCGUGGAGGAUGAAGGUCUUCGGAUUGUAAACUCCUUUUGUUAGAGAAGAAUAUGACGGUAUCUAACGAAUAAGCACCGGCUAACUCCGUGCCAGCAGCCGCGGUAAUACGUAGGGUGCAAGCGUUAAUCGGAAUCACUGGGCGGAAAGUGUGCGUAGGCGGGGUAGUAAGUCAGAUGUGAAAUCCUGUAGCUUAACCACAGGACUGCAUUUGAAACUGUGACUCUGGAGUGUUGGAGAGGUAGGCGGAAUUCCUGGUGUAGCGGUGAAAUGCGUAGAGAUCAAGAGGAACACUCAUGGCGAAGGCGACCUGCUGGACCAUUACUGACGCUGAUGCACGAAAGCGUGGGGAGCAAACAGGAUUAGAUACCCCUGUAGUC